rnacentral:rRNA from 1 species
CGGAACUGUCUCUUCCCCCAGUCAAUGAAAUUGAUCUCCCCGUGCAGAAGCGGGGAUAUAAACAUAAGACGAGAAGACCCUAUGGAGCUUUAGACGCAAUGACCGCCCAUGUUUAACCCCUUGACUAAGAGGCAUAAACCAACUGGGCCCGGGCAUGAUGUCUUUGGUUGGGGCGACCACGGGGUAACGAAAAACCCCCGAGUGGAAUGAGUACACAACUCUUUAAACCCAAGAGCCACAGCUCUAGGAAUCAGAAUUUCUGACCUAAAAGAUCCGGCAAAGCCGAUCAACGAACCGAGUUACCCUAGGGAUAACAGCGCAAUCCCCUUUUAGAGCCCAUAUCGACAAGGGGGUUUACGACCUCGAUUUUGGAUCAGGACAUCCU